CGCGUGAGGGAGANGGCCUGUGGGUUGUAAACCUCUUUUCUCAAGGAAGAAGUUCUGACGGUACUUGAGGAAUAAGCAUCGGCUAACUCUGUGCCAGCAGCCGCGGUAAUACAGAGGAUGCAAGCGUUAUCCGGAAUCACUGGGCAUAAAGCGUCUGUAGGUGGUUUGGUAAGUCUGCUGUUAAAGACUGGGGCUCAACCCCGGAAAAGCAGUGGAAACUGCCAGACUUGAGUGUGGUAGAGGUAGAGGGAAUUCCUNGUGUAGCGGUGAAAUGCGUAGAUAUUAGGAAGAACACCAAUGGCGAANGCACUCUACUGGACCAUAACUGACACUGAGAGACGACAGCUAGGGGAGCAAAAGGGAUU
rnacentral:rRNA from 1 species